rnacentral:lncRNA from 1 species
GAGAAGUCUGGCAUAUUUUAAUGGCUAACUGAGAUUUCUCCAUAUUUUGCUAAAUUAUACAUACAUGUGAGUGAGCUAAUUCAAAAAUGUAAUGCAGUAGGAACCCUAGUGUUUUGAAAACAAUUAAUGAUUUUCUAAUUCUAGCCACUUAUAAUGCUAAUGUAAUUUGCUUGUGAACUUCGGAAAGAUUAUAUAUUAAAGCAUUAUUAUAAUUGUUGUUGGUGUUCCUAUAGCUGUCAUUUUAUUAAAUAAGAUUACUGUCUAUUCUUAUUUCAGCUGCCCUCUCUUGACGUUAGACCCAGAUGGCCUGUACAUCCUCGACUUAACAUCAGCGUUUACCCGUGGAGAGAGGAUCCAAAGGUCUCCAGCUCAAAGGAAAACAAGCUGUCUUUCUCCAACCCACUCUACAAGUGCUCAAACAGUUCUGAAGCUUGAAGAAAACACACACGCAAACACUGGCUGUCACGUCCCUAUAGAUUUAGAGUGCUUUCCACUUAAUUUGAGCCUCCCUGAUAACAUGGCUGUACUUGCUAAAGGCUUAGAGGGCUUUUGUUUUUUAACACAAACUCAUGGGGAGAAAAAUUGUGACCACAAACAAGUUCAAAUUAAGCAAAAUGAAGCAGUUAAACUAUAUCUGUCAUAAAAAGAAAGUUUCUUGUAAUAAUCUAUGACAUGUAACACUCCACAUGUUGUGAAAUCUCUCUGAGGCACUGAAAUUAAACUUCCAUCUUUCAUAUUACAACAGCUAACACUUUACGUCAGUGCCUGUUUUAACAUGAGGGGCUAUGCUGAAAGAUGUAUGUAUGUUCAACAGCUCAAUUAAAAGUAGCUGAUAUAACCCUGGCGAAUGUUCAUGUUCAGUUUUAAGACGACUUAACAUUUCUUCCUAUGAUUUAGCAUUUGGUAUUUUUUGAACUUUGUCUUGUUUAAUUGUUUCAUUGAAGAUAUCAAACAGUGUCUUUCAGAAAAUAAAGGUAAAUUUAACAAAAUCAUAUCUUUAUUAAAUUAAAAAUUUAAGAUGAUCACAAUGUAACAUUAAUCUGGGAAGGUUUAUCAAAUCUAGUAUGGACUUGUUUCAGAGAUUGUUUUGUUUUCAUAGCCUGUUCUCCUUCCAGAUCUCUGUGGUUUUGAGAAUAUUGUAUUUUCAAACAGUACAUACUUUGUGUGUUCAAUCACCACUUGGUCUCCUUUUGGAUUCAAGCAGACCACAUUUUGACAGAUGAUAAAAUUGAAAACCGUAAUGAUACCAAAACAUGAACAAAGACAAGUGAAGUAGUUAACUGUGCAGUGGUUCCAGAACACUGUAACAAAAGCUGUAAAUGUACUGUACCAUGAUGAACUCUGGUGAAAUAUGGAAUGUCUCAGUAUUACAAAUUGUCAGGUUGUGGUGUUUUAUUCCUGCAUUGUUCUUUUUUUCUGGUUCUCUUUUAUCAGAUGUCAAAACAAAUGCUGUGAUGAUUUGCCAUAGCUCAAAAAUGAAAUACAAAGCAUGAAAUGAAAAAUUAUGAUUUGAUAAGAGUGUACACAUAUAGAUGUAUUAUUCAGGAAAUGUGUCAUUGGUCAGGCUGUAACACUGUGACACUAGUCAAAGAUGUUUUAGAAUUUAGAAUACACAAAGAUCUGAAUUCAAACUUUAAGGCAGGGAAUGCUUGAAAAUGUGAAACUACGGAUUCUUUUUUUACAUUGUACCCAAUUUAUUCUCUCUCUCUCUUUUGAUAUGACCUGUUUUUAUUCUCACACAAACAGUUCUAAUUAACACAUGCAGUGGUUUUCUAUUGUGUUUAUUAAUACAGCAUGUUUGAAGACUUUUACACUUACAUAUUUAGUUUACACUUAUUUGAGGACUUUAAAAAAGAGUUAUAGAUAACAUAUUGGCAACUGGCUUACAGUUAAA